CCCCAGGUGGCGGAAUAGGUAGACGCACUGGACUUAAAAUCCAGCGACUUUUAUCGGUCGUGCCGGUUCAAGUCCGGCCCUGGGGACCA
rnacentral:tRNA from 1 species